AUACGGAGGAUCCGAGCGUUAUCCGGAUUUAUUGGGUUUAAAGGGAGCGUAGGUGGGAUAUUAAGUCAGCUGUGAAAGUUUGGGGCUCAACCUUAAAAUUGCAGUUGAUACUGGUUUCCUUGAGUACGGUAUAGGUGGGCGGAAUUCGUGGUGUAGCGGUGAAAUGCUUAGAUAUCACGAAGAACUCCGAUCGCGAAGGCAGCUCACCGGGCCGGAACUGACACUGAUGCUCGAAAGUGCGGGUAUCAAACAGGAUUAGAUACCCUGGUAGUCCGCACAGUAAACGAUGAAUACUCGCUGUUUGCGAUACACUGUAAGCGGCCAAGCGAAAGCGUUAAGUAUUCCACCUGGGGAGUACGCCGGCAACGGUGAAACUCAAAUGAAUUGACGGGG
rnacentral:rRNA from 1 species